rnacentral:rRNA from 1 species
ACGGCAGCGGGAAAGUAGCUUGCUACUUUUGCCGGCGAGUGGCGAACGGGUGAGUAAUGUAUCGGAACGUGCCCAGUAGCGGGGGAUAACUACGCGAAAGCGUGGCUAAUACCGCAUACGCCCUACGGGGGAAAGGGGGGGAUCUUAGGACCUCUCACUAUUGGAGCGGCCGAUAUCGGAUUAGCUAGUUGGUGGGGUAAAGGCCUACCAAGGCGACGAUCCGUAGCUGGUUUGAGAGGACGACCAGCCACACUGGGACUGAGACACGGCCCAGACUCCUACGGGAGGCAGCAGUGGGGAAUUUUGGACAAUGGGGGAAACCCUGAUCCAGCCAUCCCGCGUGUGCGAUGAAGGCCUUCGGGUUGUAAAGCACUUUUGUCAGGGAAGAAAAGGUUUCGGAUAAUACCCGGAACUGAUGACGGUACCUGAAGAAUAAGCACCGGCUAACUACGUGCCAGCAGCCGCGGUAAUACGUAGGGUGCAAGCGUUAAUCGGAAUUACUGGGCGUAAAGCGUGCGCAGGCGGUUCGGAAAGAAAGAUGUGAAAUCCCAGGGCUCAACCUUGGAACUGCAUUUUUAACUACCGAACUAGAGUAUGUCAGAGGGGGGGUGGAAUUCCACGUGUAGCAGUGAAAUGCGUAGAUAUGUGGAGGAACACCGAUGGCGAAAGCAGCCCCCUGGGAUAAAUACUGACGCUCAUGCACGAAAGCGUGGGGGAGCAAACAGGAUUAGAUACCCUGGUAGUCCACGCCCUAAACGAUGUCAACUAGCUGUUGGGCCCUUCGGGGCUUAGUAGCGCAGCUAACGCGUGAAGUUGACCGCCUGGGGAGUACGGUCGCAAGAUUAAAACUCAAAGGAAUUGACGGGGACCCGCACAAGCGGUGGAUGAUGUGGAUUAAUUCGAUGCAACGCGAAAAACCUUACCUACCCUUGACAUGUCUGGAAUCCUGAAGAGAUUUAGGAGUGCUCGCAAGAGAACCGGAACACAGGUGCUGCAUGGCUGUCGUCAGCUCGUGUCGUGAGAUGUUGGGUUAAGUCCCGCAACGAGCGCAACCCUUGUCAUUAGUUGCUACAUUUAGUUGAGCACUCUAAUGAGACUGCCGGUGACAAACCGGAGGAAGGUGGGGAUGACGUCAAGUCCUCAUGGCCCUUAUGGGUAGGGCUUCACACGUCAUACAAUGGUCGGGACAGAGGGUUGCCAAACCGCAAGGUGGAGCUAAUCUCAUAAACCCGAUCGUAGUCCGGAUUGCAGGCUGCAACUCGCCUGCAUGAAGUCGGAAUCGCUAGUAAUCGCGGAUCAGCAUGUCGCGGUGAAUACGUUCCCGGGUCUUGUACACACCGCCCGUCACACCAUGGGAGUGGGUUUUACCAGAAGUAGUUAGCCUAACCGCAAGGGGGGCGAUUACCACGGUAGGAUUCAUGAC